AAAUAUUCAAAAGCUCUAGCAGUUAAAGAAAUUUCAAUUAAAACUAAGUGUAGGGCUAUGGUUGUAGCUCAGUGGCACAGCACUUACCUAGCGUGUGUGAGGCACCACAUAUAAAUAAAUAAAAUAAAGAUUUAUUAACAACUAAAUUUUUUUAAACUACACUGAUAUUUCAUCACAUUUCAGUCAGAAUGGCAAUUAUCAAGAAUACAAGCAACAAUAAAUUUUGGCAAGGAUGUGAAGGGAAGGGCAUACUCAUACAUUGAUGAUAAAACUGCAAAUUGGUGCAACCACUCUGGAAAGCAGUAUGGAGAUUCAUCAGAAAACUUAGAAUGGAACCACCAUUUGACUCAGUUAUCCCACCCAAAGGACUUAUAUUCGGCAAACUACAAUGAUGCAGCCUCAUCUAUAUUUAUAUCAAAUUAAUUCACAAUAGCUAAACUACAGAACCAGCCUGGGUGCCCUUUAAUGGAUGAAUGGAUAAAGAAAGUGUGAUCUAUAUACAUGAUGGAAUACUACUCAGCCAUAAAGAGAAAUUAAAUUAUGGCAUUUGCCAGUAAAUAGAUGGAAGUGGAGACUAUCAUGCUAAGUGAAAUAAACCAAUCCCCAAAAUCAAAGGCCCAAUAUUCUCUCUGAUAUGGAGAUGCUAAACUCACAAUAAAGGGAGGUAAGAAAGAAUAGAAGUAGCUUGGAUUAGAC
rnacentral:lncRNA from 1 species